ensembl:snRNA U2 U2 spliceosomal RNA
AUCAUUUUUUGGCCUUUUGGCUAAGAUCAAGUAUAAUAUUCUUAUCAGUUUAAUAUCUGCUAUAUCAAAAAAUUUAUAUUGAAAACAAUUCCCCUC